CCCUUAGAUGUCCUGGGCCGCACGCGUGCUACACUGACACCUGCAACGAGUUAUUCCAGCUCCGAAAGGCAGUUGGUAAUCAGAAAUAGGUGUCGUGAUGGGGAUAGACCCUUGGAAUUAUGGAUCUUGAACGAGGAAUGCCUAGUAAGCGCACGUCAUUAGCGUGCGCUGAUUAAGUCCCUGCCCUUUGUACACACCGCCCGUCGCUCCUACCGAUUUCGAGUGGUCCGGUGAGCCUUUUGGAGAGUGAGCGUCCUUGAGGCGCUUGCUCGAAGUCAGGCAAAUCUUACUACUUAGAGGAAGGAUAANUCGUAACA
rnacentral:rRNA from 1 species